rnacentral:rRNA from 1 species
GGACCCGCACAAGCGGUGGAUGAUGUGGAUUAAUUCGAUGCAACGCGAAAACCUUAACCUACCCUUGACAUGUCAGGGAUCCUGGAGAGAUUUGGGAGUGCCCGAAAGGGAGCCUGAACACAGGUGCUGCAUGGCUGUCGUCAGCUCGUGUCGUGAGAUGUUGGGUUAAGUCCCGCAACGAGCGCAACCCUUGUCAUUAAUUGCCAUCAUUGAGUUGGGCACUUUAAUGAGACUGCCGGUGACAAACCGGAGGAAGGUGGGGAUGACGUCAAGUCCUCAUGGCCCUUAUGGGUAGGGCUUCACACGUCAUACAAUGGUCGGUCCAGAGGGAAGCCAAGUCGCGAGGCGGAGCGGAUCCCAGAAAGCCGAUCGUAGUCCGGAUCGCAGUCUGCAACUCGACUGCGUGAAGUCGGAAUCGCUAGUAAUCGCGGAUCAGCAUGUCG